rnacentral:rRNA from 1 species
GACGUAGGGCGCGAGCGUUGUCCGGAUUUAUUGGGCGUAAAGAGCUCGUAGGCGGCCUGUCGCGUCGUCCGUGAAAACCCACGGCUCAACUGUGGGCUUGCGGUCGAUACGGGCAGGCUGGAGUUCGGUAGGGGAGACUGGAAUUCCUGGUGUAGCGGUGAAAUGCGCAGAUAUCAGGAGGAACACCGGUGGCGAAGGCGGGUCUCUGGGCCGAUACUGACGCUGAGGAGCGAAAGCGUGGGGAGCGAACAGG